rnacentral:rRNA from 1 species
AUGAGUCUAUUGUGCUGGAACUGCCGCGGGGCUGGCAAACCCGCGACAGUUCGAGAGCUUCGUGAUCUAACGAAGCAGUUUGCCCCCUUUGUACUUUGCAUUCUUGAGACUCAAAUAGAGGGAUCGAGGGUCAAAAAUAUGGUUGGUUCUUUAGGUUUUAAUAAAAGGUUUGCAGUCAGUAGCUCGAGUAGAAGUGGUGGACUUGGAAUCUUUUGGAAUGAUGAAAUA